GAGAGAUAUCAGGGGGGAGGAAGAGAAGGUUCGAGAGAGAGAGAGAGAGAGGAGCCAGAUUGGAGAGAAAUGAGAGAGAGAGGAGCCGGAUUGGAGAGAAACGAGAAGAGAGAGAGAAGGAAAGAGGAUCGUGACGGUGCGAGCCACGGGAGGAAAAAAGAUGGAGAUGAGAGAUGAAGUAGGGAUGGAGCCGGGAUCGGAGUUGCUGGUUUCCGAGCCUAGCAUAUAGCGCAACAGAGCAAGAAUUCUUUUUGUGGGCAGAACAGAGUGUGUAAAAAUUAGUAGUAGUAUAGAUAGUGUCUGUUAAAAGUGUACGAGAUUGUAUUUCUUUGUUAUGUAUAUGUAGGAUUGCAGGUUUGUCUUGAUUUGGAAUAAUGGAUUGUAGGAAGGUUUCUAUCUGUGUGAUUGAUUUGGAAUGAAACUUUCGUAUUUUGCAAUAAAA